UACGUAGGGCGCAAGCGUUGUCCGGAAUUAUUGGGCGUAAAGAGCUCGUAGGCGGUCUGUUGCGUCGGCUGUGAAAACCCGGGGCUCAACCCCGGGCCUGCAGCCGAUACGGGCAGACUAGAGUUCGGCAGGGGAGACUGGAAUUCCUGGUGUAGCGGUGAAAUGCGCAGAUAUCAGGAGGAACACCGGUGGCGAAGGCGGGUCUCUGGGCCGAUACUGACGCUGAGGAGCGAAAGCGUGGGGAGCAAACAGG
rnacentral:rRNA from 1 species